GCUUAGGGCCACACCGCCUGGUUCACGCCAAAUCUCGUUUGAUCUCGGAAGCUAAGAUAGUUUGGGCCUGGUUAGUACUUGGAUGGGAGACCGCCUGGGAAUACCAGGUGCUGUAAGCU
rnacentral:rRNA from 1 species